rnacentral:lncRNA from 1 species
UGAAAUCUGCAUGGCAAACAUCAUUGCCUUAUGAUACAUUUCUCAAAUUUUCAGAACAUAUCCCUGUCGUUUAGCAGCACAUGAAUGUAUUUGAUUUAUUGUCUUGAUGUCCCUUUGCUUUCCCCAUGUGUUACCAUCAACUGCCUAAUGAAACAGCCUGGGAUUGUGUAAUGACUAACUUAGUGCUUUGAGUUUAAUUCUUUUUCAGCCACUGUGGUAUGUUGAUUACUAUAUUAAUAAUGUGUCUCCUUUAUGUGCUUUUAAAUAGUUACUUGGUCAUGAACUAUUGAUAAGCUUUGGAAACAUGAUUUCAUUUAUUCUGCAGGAUAACUUCAGGAAGUGGGUAUUAAUUCUCACGGUAUAAGUGAAGACAUUAAGCACCAGAGUUUAAGUAGCUUGCUAGAUCCACUGAAAGAGAUUCAACUGUGUGGAACCUAUGCCGUGGAGAAUUGCUUUCUGCCAUUGUUAUCGUCCAGCAGUUGCCGAAUAGCUCUGACCUGAGCAAAGCAGUGAAACGCGGUGCUGUUGAGUGGGUUGCCACUGCACCUUUUUCAACUACUCU